AUUGAACGCUGGCGGCAGGCUUAACACAUGCAAGUCGAACGAGUGGCGGACGGGUGAGUAAUGCUUGGGAAUCUAGCUUAUGGAGGGGGAUAACUACGGGAAACUGUAGCUAAUACCGCGUACCAUAGGAUGAGCCCACGUCGGAUGAGGUAGUUGGUGAGGUAAGGGCUCACCCAGCCGACGAUCUCUAGCUGGUCUGAGAGGAUGACCAGGCACACGUGGACUGAGACACGGCCCAGACUCCGACGGGAGGCAGCAGUGUAGAAUACUGCGCAAUGGGGGCAACCUGACGCAGCCAUGCCGCGUGAAUGAAGAAGGCCUUCGGGUUGUAAAGUUCUUUCGGUAGCUAGGCGUUAACUACAGAAGAAGCACCGGCUAACUCCGUGCCAGCAGCCGCGGUAAUUC
rnacentral:rRNA from 1 species